rnacentral:rRNA from 1 species
GACGAACGCUGGCGGCGUGCUUAAUACAUGCAAGUCGACUGAACUUAAGGUAGCAAUAUUUUAAGGGAGGUGGCGCACGGGUGAGUAACACGUAGGUAAUCUGCCUUUAGGACUGACAUAACCCAGAGAAAUCUGGGCUAAUAUCAGAUGAUGCAGCGGCUCGACAUCGAGACAGUUGUUAAACCUUCGGGGCCUAGAGAUGAGCCUGCGUCUGAUUAGGUAGUUGGCGGGGUAAUGGCCCACCAAGCCAUCGAUCAGUAGCUGGUCUGAGAGGAUGAUCAGCCACACUGGAACUGAGACACGGUCCAGACUCCUACGGGAGGCAGCAGUAAGGAAUAUUGCUCAAUGGCCGAAAGGCUGAAGCAGCAACGCCGCGUGGAGGAUGAAAUACUUUUGUAUGUAAACUCCUGUGAGAAGGGAAAAAUAUUUCGAUUUAUCGGAAUUGAUUGUACCUUCAGAGUAAGCACCGGCUAACU